GACGUUUCUCGCCCUUUGACGUUUCACACCGGCCCUUUCACACCCGCCCCCGUAUAAAAUCUCUGUUUCCACGUCUCUUCUCAUUCUUUUUCUCUUUCUCUUUCUCUCUCCUCAGCGCCAAUUCCAUCCUUCCGGUGCAAGCAUUCUCAUCACCCCCCCUAGAUUCUUGCCCUAUUAAUAUGGAAGGGCACUUCCCCCAUCAUCUUCACCAUCAGCAACAUCUUCAGCAGCAGCAGCAUCGGCCGUCACUGCAGCAGCAGCAGAUAAGCGUUAGCGUGGAAGCGGGCGGCGAUAGGUUCCCGCAAUGGAGCGUCCAGGAGACAAAGGAGUUCUUGAUGAUACGGGCCGAGCUCGACCGGAGCUUCAUGGAGACGAAGCGGAACAAGCUCCUCUGGGAGGUCAUAUCGACCCGGAUGAGGGAGAAGGGCUACAACCGGAGCGCCGAGCAGUGCAAGUGCAAGUGGAAGAACCUCGUCACUCGAUAUAAGGGUUGCGAGACGAUCGAACCAGAAGCUAUGAGGCAGCAAUUCCCAUUUUACAAUGAGAUGCAAGCGAUUUUUGCGGCGAGGAUGCAAAGAAUGCUGUGGGCCGAAGCAGAAGGAGGCAGCGGUGGGGGAAGCACCUCGAAGAGCAAGAAAGCAUCUUCUUCCCAGUUGUCUUCUGAUGACGAUGGUGAUGAUGAGGACAGUGAGGGCGAGAAGGGAAAAAAGAAGAAGAAGGCCAAGGGCAACACUGGCACGAGCAACAGCAGUAGUGGAAGCAGCAGCGAAGUGAGGAAGAUAUUGGAGGAGUUCAUGAAGCAACAGGCACGGAUGGAGGCGGAGUGGAGGGAGGCGUAUGAAGUGCGGGAGAGCGAGAGAAGGGUGAAGGAGAUGGAGUGGAGGCAGGCAAUGGAGGUUCUAGAGAAUGAGAGGAUAAUGAUGGACAGGAGGUGGAGAGAGAGGGAAGAGCAGAGGAGGAUGAGAGAGGAGGCUAGGGCUGAGAAGAGGGAUGCUCUUAUCACAGCACUUCUCAACAAGCUUAGAAGAGAAGAUCACAACAUGUAACUCUCUCUCUCUCUCUCUCUUCCCUCUCUUCAUAAUUAUGGAGAUUAUGAUGAAGAAGAAGCUUCCCCAUGAGUUGAAGAUUAUUUGCGGGAUGGAGCUAGGGUUUUGCUAUCCUCUUGGUGUCCAACGCGUUGCAACAUGAGUCACCAUCAACCCUAUGCGUAGCUAUGAUUUUAGGCCAUGGUUUGUCAUGUGGGAUUGCCAAAGUGCCAAUUGGACACUACAUUAGCAAAAUAGGACAAAAAAGAGGGAAGAAUAAAGAACGGAAGUAGGGAGUCGGUGAGGUAAGGACCACUAUCCUUAUCAUCGACAAAUAGGAGGUUGGAUUGAUCCUCAAGUGAAAAUUUGCAUGAAGGAUUUGGCUGGGGCCUGCUACCCUCAACUAGUCCCCGACCCUCUUUCUAUUUCUCUACCUUGAGUUUCUCCCUUUUGUUUUUAAAUUUAUUACAAUUUGUUUCAUGUGCUCCUA